UACGUAGGGUGCGAGCGUUAAUCGGAAUUACUGGGCGUAAAGCGUGCGCAGGCGGCUUCCCAAGCGCCACGUGAAAGCCCCGGGCUCAACCCGGGAGGGUCGCGGCGAACUGGGAGGCUUGAGGCCGGUAGAGGUGGGUGGAACUCCUGGUGGAGUGGUGAAAUGCGUAGAGAUCAGGAAGAACACCCGUGGCGAAGGCGGCCCACUGGGCCGGUGCUGACGCUGAGGCGCGAAGGCGUGGGGAGCGAACGGG
rnacentral:rRNA from 1 species